rnacentral:rRNA from 1 species
AUUGAACGCUGGCGGCAUGCCUUACACAUGCAAGUCGAACGGUAACAGGUUAAGCUGACGAGUGGCGAACGGGUGAGUAAUGUAUCGGAACGUGCCCAGUCGUGGGGGAUAACUGCUCGAAAGAGCAGCUAAUACCGCAUACGACCUGGGGGUGAAAGCGGGGGAUCGCAAGACCUCGCGCGAUUGGAGCGGCCGAUAUCAGAUUAGGUAGUUGGUGAGGUAAAGGCCCACCAAGCCGACGAUCUGUAGCUGGUCUGAGAGGACGACCAGCCACACUGGGACUGAGACACGGCCCAGACUCCUACGGGAGGCAGCAGUGGGGAAUUUUGGACAAUGGGCGCAAGCCUGAUCCAGCCAUGCCGCGUGCGGGAAGAAGGCCUUCGGGUUGUAAACCGCUUUUGUCAGGGAAGAAAAGGUUCUGGCUAAUACCUGGGACUCAUGACGGUACCUGAAGAAUAAGCACCGGCUAACUACGUG